ensembl:lncRNA
GCCAAGGGGACCUGGUGAACUUUGACAUUAACUGUAGUUGGUUAAAAGUCACUUUAGUCGUAGAAAAAAGAGCACGAUUUGCCUUCCUGUCUUUUGGCAGGGCUGGGGACUAGAGAGUAUGGAGGUUCAGAAGCCUCCGUCUGAAUAAACAGAUCAUUACUGUGUUAGCUGCCUCUUUUGUUUUAUAGCCAGUGGACACUUGCAAAAUCGAUAUAUGCUGCUUGACAUUAGUUAAAAGGACAAACAUUAAUGUUUUUUUCCAUUGUUUUUCUUGGUUUAUAGUCGUAAUAGGGCUUUUAACAAGGGGGCUUUUUGAGGGAGAGGAUUUUUUCUCUCUCAAAUGAUUGAAUUUGGUUUAUUUUAUUUGAUGCUUUGGGAUGCCGCUCUCUUCAAAAUGGCAGCCAGCGGUGGGCGCAGGCGCUUGAAGUCAGCAAGCACCUCAACGCCAAUCCAAGCCCAUCUGCGUCAGAGUCCUGAACUCCCUAAACAUCUCUAAGUGUCUCCAGCAGUACUAGUAGGACGUAGUCCAUGGCUCCGUCUGCAUUAUGUUAGGAGCACGUGCGCUGCAGCACUGUAUGACAUUGUCAAUGCCUGAGUUUGUAGAUUUCUGACAGAAUGGUAAAGCUUUUGGGAACAGGAAAAUGCAUGGGCUUUUCUGGGGGUAUUUGAGGUAGCGCUACAUGGGAAACUCUCUUUAACCUCCUAUUAAAGUGACCUUUGGUAUCUUUAUUAUUUUCAUUCUACAUUAUUCUUCAUUUUGGUGUAGAAUAAGUCGCGCGAUGGUCCAACAUGUGUCGCACUGUCGAAACAACAGGAUUUGUUUUGAACUCAUUUGUCCCAAAGAUCUCCACAUAAUCAGUGAAUAAAUUGUCCCCAAUAUCUAAAAUGGAAUGGAAGUAUUUGUGGUACUAUUUCAUUUUACGGACUGCAGCAUAAUAUUUUGUAUUGUUGCAUUGUUUUCUAAUAUGUUUCGCACUAGGGUUUUGUAGUAUGUACUGUAUUGUAUUGUGCUGUAUUUUCUUAUAUUUAUGGAAGUAUUGUGUAUUUUCUCUUUACCCUUUUAUCUCUUAACAUACCCAGCCCGGAAUGUCUUCGAUAGACACAAUGCAGUAAAUACACUACUGAAUAAUUAUACAGAGAGGUAACUGAAUACACUCCAGCUCUUUACAUGGUCUUAUGUUACACUCAACUAUAUGGAUCCAUUUGUAAUUACAACAAAGAAAACCAGAUUCCAAUCCAUGCUAUUAACACCAGGUAGGACUAUCUUCGCUAGAUACACCCACGCAUUUAGGCUGCCGUCUCCUGUUGGUAAAUGUUAUAAAUCGAUUAUUCGUUUACUCAAUACAUCUUCUGUCGAACAGGUUAAAACGAUAAUCAAAGAAUGAUAAUGUUUUUCAAAAUAUUAUGUGUUUAUUGGGGUGUGUGCUUGUGUGUGUGUGCGCAUGCACCCACUUCAAAUCAAAUUACUCACAUGUUUAUUCACAUACUCCUAAACAAUUGCACUUCUAAAUAAAUACUAUAGAGAUGACUUCUCCCUGCGUGUCCCUAUUCAGAAAAAUCCCUACCAUAGCGUUGUGUUGUUGUCGUGGUGUCAUUCAGGCAUAGAGGUGAUCUUUGGAAAGCUGUUACAGGUCUUGAUUGCACUGGGGCUGUGGUGGGACUAGUGCUAAUUGUGCGGCGUGGUUCUGAAUGACUAAACAAGCUCAGUGUUUGCAGAGGAACACUCCUUCAAGAUGAAUCCAUUGUCACACUGCUUUUCUACCUUCCACUUGUCCUCGUCUCUGUAGGGAGCUGGUGGUGGUUGAGGAAGAGGAGGAAGAAGAUGUCCUGCUAGGUGUGGUGGUCCACGAGGAGGAAGAGGAGGUGUUGUUGCUAGGACUGAUGUAACAUGGAGCGCCACGAAGAGGAAGAGGAGGAAGAUGUCAGCGUGAAACUAGAAGAGGAGGAAGAUGUCACCUUGAAGCUGGAUGAUAAGGAAGAUGUUAGCGUUGAGAUAGAGAAGGAGGAAGAGGAGGAUGAGUAGGAGGAUGAGGAAGAUGUCAGCAUGGAGCUAGAUGAUGGGGAACCAUUGUGAGUGACAGGGAGGUCCCAGGAGACAGGAGGAGACUGAGGUGAGUAGGAUCUGCCCUUGACCCUGUCUGGCUUCCUGUUGCCUGGCAACAGAAGCAGAGAAGGCCAGGUUUGUCAUCACUGUACCGUCGACAACUCAAUUUAAAGCAGCCUGCCAUUUUAUUAUCGCCAGUGGAAACUUACUAGGUCUUAUCUUGUGUAUAUUAUGACUAAAUUGUGUUACCAUAAAUCAGUGCUGAGAUUCGACCCACAGUGAAAGGUGCUUAAAUAAUUGUACUACUAUUAUACUACACGUUUCAUCUUACGGCUAUGUAUGUAUUUUUGUCCCAAAAGCUGAAAGUGUGCACGAUUACUAUUCAAUCGCAACUAUUGAAACCCUAUGGUAUUUAGCCACUGAUAAGGUCUCCAUGAAGCGGGUAGUGGUUUCUCUGAUGCAUCCGACCACACCAGGCCCUAGUCCUCCUCUCUGUGUUGGAAGAGAAACUUGCGUAUGACUGGAAACAGUUGAACAGUACUGAACCAACAGACUGUGGCGUUGUUAUGCCUAGCAGAGUUUAGAAACACUGUGCCGCAGUGGUUUUUACCUCAGAUCCAUGUCUGUGGUUCUGAAUGUUGAGCCUUAGGGUGCUGGGUGCUAUGGAGAGGUGGGUACACGCAACACACACAAAUAAAUACUGAUAAAAUAUUUAAUCACUGCAAUCACUCUCAAUGUAUUGCUGCAGUCCACAUGAUAUAACCUGUACGAAAUAUGUACUAAAACGUGAUACAGAACAGCCCCUAAUAUGAUCGAGAACCUUAUAUUUGUUAUAAUUUGAUCAACUUGAGUGAGUAAAUGGUGCUAGUCUCCACCCUUAAACAUUACACAUUGUUAUACAUGAUUAAACAUUAAUGCUGUGGUUUAUUGUUCUUGUUUUCCUCAAGGUAUCUAUUGUCUCCAGCUCCUUUGCUUAUUUGUUUGUGAUUGUUAAUUUUUUCCAAC